AGAAAAGGGCACAUCUGUAGCAGUGUUUCCCCUGGUAGCAUCUUCCCAAACCCUCCCAGCUUCUGCCAGUCUGCAGGACUGUACACAAAGAAACAAUGCACAGAACUGUGGCAUGAAGAAAUGAUAUACAGAUGUAGCUGAUGCUGAAAAUGCAAUUUGCAUAAUAUGGUAAUGUAUGCAUUAUAGUUCCAACUACAUACAUGAUCAAAGCAUCCAUUGUAAAUGAUAAUGCAAAUUAAUUUUAGGCUCAUUAUUAUUAAUUGAACCUGAAUAGAAAACAGAUUCAGUAAAAAUAGAAUAAAGAAACAAACUGAAACUAUGUAGGGAAACAGUCAUUAAUGUGAUUAUUCUCUCUGACUUAUAGUUAGGCACAUGCUCCUUCUGCCUGUGUUUCUCCUGCCUUCUCUGGUAUAAUUUCAGAUACAAUUUCUCCUUUAUUCCGUAGCUCAUGCUCUUGGUUUCUCUUUUGAUGUUCAUGUCACUCUCUCAGCAUAGUUUCUCAAAUGUAUUAUUAAGGUCUGCAUGGUCUAAUAGGUUGCCAUUAUCCUAAGCUUUAUUCAUUCCUUUUCCAAAUUAAAUCAAACUUGGGCUUGAAUAAUGUUGAUAGGGACAUUUGCGUAAACUAAGUUUGUUACUGCAGUAAUGGGGUUGUUUUUGUGAAUUAAUGGGUCAUUUGUUUUUAAAAACAGAACACCAGCAUGUUCCUGAUGUUCCUGCCCCUUCUCAAAACUCUUUCAUGGUGAUCUUUUGUCCUGUUGUAAUGGUUUCUGGUUUCUGCAGUGCCUGGAGACAGAAGAAGGAUAAAAUUCUGGGAUUUAGCCAUUACCCAGCACUGGAGUUUCUGUCCUAAAAUGGGUUUAGAAUAAUUUAUUCAUGUAAUGUAAUUAUAUCCUGAUUUUUUGCUAAAUAUACUUAAAUCUGGUGAGACUACAUUUCUUUUUUCUUUUUCCUAGACAGUAUUAGAGUGUGAUCUUCAAUGACUACUAAUUAUUUAGCAUUGACAGCUCUCAAACGUAAGAGGGCAGGGUCAGUUUCCUUAGAAUUAAAGCCACCAUUAGAAUAUGAGCAUCUUUUAUUUCUCUGUGAAUAUUUUGACUUUACCAUAAACCUACUCUCAGUAUAGGAUAAUGGAUUGGGCAAAGACUGCACACAGUUGUAGAUGCAAAAUAAUAUUAAAUUUCUUCCUAAAUUGAGGAGGCAAAACAAGACAGAUAAAGUCUGUGAUCUCAUUCCUAGGAACGUUUCCGUCUGUCUCUUCUUAGUAAGAUCUUAACAACUUCAUUCUGGCAUUUCAGAGGAAAUGCCAUUUUAAGUGAUAAUUAAUCUUAUUCUUUUCCUUACUGUUAUUGUUUUUUUCCUUAUUACAGACCUUGUGAUUUACUUAAAUGUGGUGGUGUUAGAAAUGCUAAUGAAAAUGUUUUCCUUUUUUUUUACAGCUUAUACUAUAUUGACACUUAUAACUGCAGUGACAUUGCACAGAGCUUAUUAUCUUUAUAUCACAGGAUGUAUUAGCUAAAACCCAAUCACUUUCCUAGAAUCAUUUUGAAAAAUGUGUUGGAGCAAUGUUGUAUUUGUAUCACAGUGGCCACUUCUGAACCAAAUGGCCAAUAUCCCAUUGAUCCAAUACUGCCUGCAGGGAGCAAAGGUAGGGUGACAACUGGGAGAGGUAUUUUGCUCCCUGCCCCUUGCACUUUUACCCUGCUGUAUUUGAGAUGUUCUCACCUUGUCUCCUUCAAGGGACAUACAGGCAAGAAAAAGCGAAGCUCUUUUCCCACUGUCAAGUAUGAAAACAUUGUGCUUGGGAAGUCCCAGUUACCAAAUGUUUCUGUAGGAUAUGCAGGCACUAACAGCAUCAGAGCAUGCCCAAAAGAUUGAUUUUGUCACCUUUAUUCAUGAUAAACGACAUUUCACUUCAUGUGCGCUCACUGAAGUCAGCAGGACUUUGAAGUAGAGUAUGCAGAUACUGAUUUUGAACCCUGGGCCAGAAAUCCCUCGCUCUUCCCAAAUUUUGCAUUUUUCAGAAAUGCUGGUCACUGUUUUAACAGCUCUAAAACCGGGUGUUGCAGGUGUCCCAUACUGACAGCUGCAAUUUUACUGAUGCUAUGCAGCACAGGAUGUCCAGUCUUAGUACAUUUCAAGGCACAGGAAAUGCAACUCCAUAUCUGAAUCCAUAAGAAGAAAGGAGUCUUUCAAAGUUCAAGAAUUCAAAAAGACUGUGGACAACAGUACAUGGUGAUAUAUAAAAACUAAUUACAGACCUUGAUACCUGUACACUGCUGGCCUUCCACUCCCCAAAAGCCCACAGGUGAGGAGGUUCACAAAUGGGAAAUGCAGAACAAAUGGAUCCUUAUUGUGGAGACUGACUGAAAACAGCAUGAAAAAUACAAGGUGCUACACAGAAACCUUUGAGUCAGAAUGGGUGGGUAACUAUACAAAUAAUAAACAAAAUAAAAAUAUGUAGAGAAAUAUGCAUGUGUUCAGUGUGCUCAAAAUUAGUCCAUUGCAUUGUUUCCUGAGGCCAUAAUUUGUGUCAGCUGUUCAGCAGGAUUCAAAAUCUGACUAAAUAUUCAUGUGAACAACAGACAACUCCCAAGGUAUAAAACUGGGUUUUCUUGAAGUCCUAUUGAAGAGGUUAUACCUUUCUACUUUGUAAGGUAUAGGGCAGUUCCUGAUCAUCAAGAGCAAAGAGGAGAUUUUUCCAAAGAAUAUAUGUUUAUUUCUUCCUUAUUUCCUUGCACUUUCUCUAAACUUCUGUUCACUAACGGUAUGAUCAUGGAAAUCAUGGACUACUGCAGCCUGAUCCAACAUGGUGAUUCCUCCAGCUCUAAUGAGAAUGGAUAUUCAAUAAAAAAAUAAAACAUCUUGUGACAUGCAAAAGGUGGAAAGGGACAAAACACUUCAGGCCAACGUCAGAAAGUCCCUAUGAGAUCUGCUCUAGAUUACUCACUGUUUUUUUUUAAUUUUCACAUGGCUUACUCUUGCAGACUUUGCCUGUCUGAUACCUCUCAGCUUCAUAGGAUUUUUUUCAGAGAUGGACAAUAGGUGGUUUUGGCACAACUCCUGUUUGUUGUGGUGUUGGAUGGCAAACAUGACAAACUGUAAAGUCACAUCCUAGACAUUCUGUUGUGUACUCAUAUUCUGGUAUGAUAUAAUUUUAAGGAAUGUGAUUGUGAUUUCCAGCACUACAAGCUGAAAUCAGGAUUUGGUUGUAUACCAUGUAAAAUACUGUCUCUCUAUGAAUUUCAGCUCAUGUCAAUACAUCUCCAUAUGCAAUGCUGGAAAGCAUCACCAAUUACUGUGUCUGUUUACAGAGCACAAGAACAGAAUAUUUAAUUUUACCAGCCUCUAAGGACAACAAAGCUGAAUUUGAACUCUAGUUAAAGUUUUGCUGAUUACUCCUGACCUUUCUGGGACAAAGACAUGAAGGUCACUGGAGUCAUGAUUUUUUUCACAAUCUGCUUGUCUUUGUCAUUCCCCUAAUAAUGCAGAGGACUAGAAACAAGAGCUGGGUGGUGUUUUUUUCCCCCUGCCUGGAAAUCUAUUUAGAUUAGUCACCAGGUUUUCCAGUCUAUGGUCAUUGAAGGUCAUUUGGUUUAUAGCUGAAAUUCUCAAUUGGAACCUCAUCUUGUAAUCAGAACUUAAAACCCAAGCAAGGUUUUGUAUCUCCUCUGAAAGGGUAGGUUGUUGUAUGAUUAGCUUUAGAAUGUUAAAUGGACUGUCUGUGUAAUGAUGGGUAAUUUUGGGGGGCUUAAAUUGCACUAGGGGAAGACCUGUCUUGAAUAAUAAUAUUGGCUAUAUUAUAAAGAACAGUAUUCUAGUCUUCUCCUAAAUGCUAAUUCUAUUACACAUUAACAUUUCCUUUGCAGUAAAAUGGCAAAAGGCAAGCCAGCAAGACGUAAAAAUCUUGCAAAGUGCAUUUUCACUUCUAGACUGUUCCUAAGAGCAAGCAGUUUCCUGAAAAUGUCCCUUAAAUAAGCAUCCACUUACAAUGGUCAUCAUCAUACAGUCAGCAUCUGCUAAUAGCUGCUCCACAGCCUCGGUUGCUGGCAAACACAGAGCAUUUGUUGUAAUGUAUACAGUGAUGGAAAUGGGUGUAUAAUUUUUGCGCUAUUUUUUUUUUAACUGUUCUUAGCCCUAAGUAUGAAACUUCAGUUGGAUAGUAUAGAGGUACUCCCAGAGAAUGUUCGUAAAGCCUGAUGUCCUGUAUGUUCUUUGAGUCUGUAAGACUACUGGUGAGAACCUGUUGACUGAUUGAUUGAUUGAUCAAUUGAUUGUUUUAAUGUCUCUUUGGCCCAUGUGCAACUCAAACUCAAAUACAAAUAUAUACAUUUA